UUUCCAUCUUUCUAUUUUUAUAACAUUAUUAAAUCUAACUUUGUUUAAUUCCCGAAAAAACCCACCUUUCAAUUUUUAUUUUUUUUGAAAUUAAAGAAUUCAACUUGAUCUGGGUUUUCUCGGGAAUUAAACGAACUUUUGUUUAAUUUGUUAACUUUUUUCGUAAAUUUUCUGGGUGUUCUUUGUUUGAGCCUUAAUUCAAGCUAACGCGGAAAUCAAAGGGAGAAAGAUCGUGAAAGAGCUCAAGCUCGCAAUUCUAGCAAAACGAAGACGUCUAAAACUGACGGUUUAACACCUGAGCAGCGUCGAGAAAGGGAUGCAAAAGCGUUGCAAGAGAAAUUAGCGAAGAAGAAGGCACAAUCUGAAAGCGAAAGCAAGAAGGAAGUAGUUAAAAUUAGGAAAUAAUUGAUAAUUAUCACCCCCAAAAUUAGUUGGGUUGUAAAUUUUAAUUGAUUUAAUUCUGGGUAAGAAAAUUUUUGGGGGUUUGUAUUGUUGUAACAUUAGUGUGAUUGAUCUGAUCUAGAGUUUAUGGGUUUGAGGAGUUCAAAGGGAGUGUCUUAUUGUCAAGUUAAUUGUAAUGAAGAAUAAUGGUUUGUUUGGCAAAUUCGGCAGUUUGAUCUGGCUUCUGAACCUAAGUUUACAUCUAAUUGUUGAUUGAUAGUGAUUAUCCUUUUGUUUUAUAAAUAUGAUGUUUUAUUUG